UGGAAGUAAAAAGUCGUAACAAGGUCUCCGUUGGUGAACCAGCGGAGGGAUCAUUACUGAGUUUACGCUCUAUAACCCUUUGUGAACAUACCUAUAACUGUUGCUUCGGCGGGUAGGGUCUCCGCGACCCUCCCGGCCUCCCGCCUCCGGGCGGGUCGGCGCCCGCCGGAGGAUAACCAAACUCUGAUUUAACGACGUUUCUUCUGAGUGGUACAAGCAAAUAAUCAAAACUUUUAACAACGGAUCUCUUGGUUCUGGCAUCGAUGAAGAACGCAGCGAAAUGCGAUAAGUAAUGUGAAUUGCAGAAUUCAGUGAAUCAUCGAAUCUUUGAACGCACAUUGCGCCCGCCAGCAUUCUGGCGGGCAUGCCUGUUCGAGCGUCAUUUCAACCCUCAAGCUCUGCUUGGUGUUGGGGCCCUACAGCUGAUGUAGGCCCUCAAAGGUAGUGGCGGACCCUCCCGGAGCCUCCUUUGCGUAGUAACUUUACGUCUCGCACUGGGAUCCGGAGGGACUCUUGCCGUAAAACCCCCCAAUUUUCCAAAGGUUGACCUCGGAUCAGGUAGGAAUACCCGCUGAACUUAAGCAUAUCAAUAAGCCGGAGGAA
rnacentral:rRNA from 1 species